rnacentral:rRNA from 1 species
AGUGAACGCUGGCGGUAGGCCUAACACAUGCAAGUCGAACGGCAGCACAGGAGAGCUUGCUCUCUGGGUGGCGAGUGGCGGACGGGUGAGGAAUACAUCGGAAUCUACCUUUUUCGUGGGGGAUAACGUAGGGAAACUUACGCUAAUACCGCAUACGACCUACGGGUGAAAGUGGGGACCGCAAGGCCUCACGCGAUUAGAUGAGCCGAUGUCCGAUUAGCUAGUUGGCGGGGUAAUGGCCCACCAAGGCGACGAUCGGUAGCUGGUCUGAGAGGAUGAUCAGCCACACUGGAACUGAGACACGGUCCAGACUCCUACGGGAGGCAGCAGUGGGGAAUAUUGGACAUGGGCGCAAGCCUGAUCCAGCCAUACCGCGUGGGUGAAGAAGGCCUCGGUUGUAGGCCGUUUGUCGGAAUGAAGUCCUAUCGGUUAAUAACCGGUGGGCAUGACGGUACCCAAAGGAAUAAGCACCGGCUAACUUCGUGCCAGCAG